rnacentral:rRNA from 1 species
GAUGAACGCUGGCGGCGUGCCUAAUACAUGCAAGUCGAGCGAACAGACGAGGAGCUUGCUCCUCUGACGUUAGCGGCGGACGGGUGAGUAACACGUGGAUAACCUACCUAUAAGACUGGGAUAACUUCGGGAAACCGGAGCUAAUACCGGAUAAUAUAUUGAACCGCAUGGUUCAAUAGUGAAAGACGGUUUUGCUGUCACUUAUAGAUGGAUCCGCGCCGCAUUAGCUAGUUGGUAAGGUAACGGCUUACCAAGGCAACGAUGCGUAGCCGACCUGAGAGGGAGAUCGGCCAGAUGGGAACUGAGACACGGUCCAGACUCCUACGGGAGGCAGCAGUAGGGAAUCUUCCGCAAUGGGCGAAAGCCUGACGGAGCAACGCCGCGUGAGUGAUGAAGGUCUUCGGAUCGUAAAACUCUGUUAUUAGGGAAGAACAAAUGUGUAAGUAACUAUGCACGUCUUGACGGUACCUAAUCAGAAAGCCACGGCUAACUACGUG